ensembl:lncRNA
UUUUCAUCAUUUCUAAAUAUUUUUAUCAUUAGAUUGUUUGUGUGAUUCACACAUGAAAAUGAUCCUUAUUUAUAUUAUGCUGGGCAGUGCAGUGAUACAGCACUUCUGUCUGUCCACUGUCUGAAACUGGAAGUUUUAGCAUGGCAUAGAUUAAAUGGGUAGAAAAAAAAAACUGAAAUCAUUUGUUUAGUGAAAUGUGAAGAAUACAUUUUUGAAUCACGGGGAUUACUGACUAUUUAAAGCUUUAGCCAUGUUUAAUAUGAGCCUCCAUCAGUGUAUAUGUAGACUUAUGUACCAUAAUAAUACAGGACAUGAGAAGAAGGACAACAGAUCCUCUCUAAGGAUACAGGAAGACCUGCAGUGUUAAAAACGAAAGUCUCCUCUGCUACAAAAAAAAGGUAAUGUUGGGUUGUUGAGUCACAGUGGGGGACUUCAGUUCAGGGAAUUACUACCAGCCUUCUGCAUCUCUUUCAGCCCUUGAGAUGUGUGCUUUGGUUCUGCUGAGGGACAGUGGGAAUCCUGGCAACAAUAAGGACAGCUGUACAAACAUUUGCCUGUCUCACCAGCAAGCCCUUUGUCAAGAUCCUAAAUAAACCUGGAAACAUUAUAGAAAUCAGGCUUCCUUGAAGGGAUGUGUCACCUGGCCUGCAUGCGCAGGCUCUACAAGCUUUGUAGAGCCUGAAGGGCUUGCUGGUGCAGUACGAUGAAAAGCUAGCUCUUCUCGGCCUCUGGACUCCAAAUGUUCAAGCUUCACGCAGAUGUGUUCCCAAAGUACUUGCAUCCAAUGUUUCAAGAGCAAGAUAAGAUGCCAACCUGUCCCAGUCUUUCACACAUUUUGCAAAACAGUUUUGCAUGAUACUCCAUGAGCCUGUGACAAUAAAAAGGGGGAGAAAAGUGUACCCCAACAGAAAGUGAUCAGUGCUUUCCUUCUUCCUUCCAUUCUACCUGUAUUUGGUUUGUAGGUGCAAUGCAGAAUUGAUCCACGGGGAGGCAGUGUUUCCUCAUGAUUCAAAUAUGCUCUUCUGCAUACAGUUGAAAAACAUUGGUUUGUAAUGUUUUUUAACCUGUGCAGAAUAUGACUACAGCACACACACACAUAUUUUAAAAUAUUCACAGUGUGUGUUUAAGCUC